GAUGAACGCUGGCGGCGUGCCUAAUACAUGCAAGUCGAGCGAACAGACGAGGAGUUUGCUCCUUUGACGUUAGCGGCGGACGGGUGAGUAACACGUGUAUAACCCACCUAUAAGACUGGGAUAACUUCGGGAAACCGGAUCAAACACCGUAUAAUCUAUUUAACCGUAUUGUUCAAUAGUGAAUGACGGUUCUUCUGUCACUUAUAGAUGCAUCCGCGCCGCAUUAGCUAGUUGGUAAGGUAACGGCUUACAAAGGGAACGAUGCGUAGCCGACCUGAGAGGGGGGUCGGCGACACUGGAACUGAGACAGCGUCCAGAGUCCUACGAGAGGGAGCAGAAGGGGAUGUUCCGCAUGGGGGGAAAGCAUGGCAGAGCAAGGCCGAGUGAGUGGUGAAAGUCUUCGGAUCGUAAAGCUCUGUUUUUAGGGAAAAACAAAUGUGGAAGUAAAUAAGCAGGGCUUGACGGUACCUAAUCAGAAAGCCACGGCUAACUACGUG
rnacentral:rRNA from 1 species